UUCACCUUUUAUCUCCACAGGGAAUUGUGGGCAACUUAGCUAGUGGUAAAUCUGCCCUUGUACAUCGAUAUCUGACUGGGACGUAUGUCCAGGAGGAAUCCCCAGAAGAUAUGGAUGCAGGUGGGAGAUUCAAGAAGGAGAUAGUAGUUGAUGGACAGAGUUACCUGCUGCUGAUUAGAGAUGAAGGUGGUCCUCCUGAGGCACAGGUGAGCACACUGUUUAAGUGAUAUUAACAGAAUGAAAAAUUGGUGACAAAUGCCACACCGUUAUGCCAGAGUGUAAACUGGUGGAAUCAGUGCUUGCUCAGUGCUGUCAAAAU